rnacentral:lncRNA from 1 species
UUUAAACGGUUAAAAGCAAUAUAAUAAAAGAGCCUUGGGAUCGUUGGUUUUAUCUAAGUGACAAGUCCUUCUCAAACCAAAACCAUAAGCUUAUAAUGUUAUGUUAGACCUAAUUUCUCAAGACAGUUUCUCUUAAGUUCCUCUAGCAACCAAGCCUAUUUCGCUGACCUGAUUACUAUUGGAUUUUGGUUCCUCUAACAACCAAGCCUAUUUCGCUGACUUGAUUGUUAUUAGUUCCCUUGAAGAUCGAAACUAUAUGUCUCAAAGAUUGCAAAGCCUAUUUCGCUGACUUUGCAAUCCUUGUCUGAAUUCACUUGUUCGAAUAUCAAAGCUCCACUUUCGUUUUAUGAAUUGAUAUUUGGAAUAAUGGAUGAACAAUUAUCAAACCCUCCACUUUCGUUCCCACAGUUUGAUAAUGGUUAAUCCAUGUUAAGACGGUGAAUUCAGAUAAGAAAUUAGGGUUACAUAAGAUUAAGGCUUAGGGCUUGGUUUGAUUAGGAUUAUGUCAUUUAGACUUAUCCAACAAUCCCAAGACAAGAAGAAGUCUACUCACUCAUGUUCAUCGUAGACAUGGGGGAGAAGAGAGAAAGCAUGAAAGUAAAAGACAAUGAAAUAAAGGAAAAGAACUUUAUUUAGAAAAGCAAAUGUCACUUAUUGUAUUCCAAGUAAAGAUGAAUAUUAGUGAUGGCUAGCUACUCUAUUUAUAGUACACAAUUGACUUAAAAUCUAAGCAAGUAUAUUCCUAGAAUAUUCCUCGGUAGAUUGUGCGUCAAAAUAGAAUAGCUUGGAGUCAAAGCAAAAGCAGCAAAAGGCAUCUGGAGGGUGGCACGGCCGUGCCAAGGCUAGCACGGGCCGUGCCAAGCUUCUGACUUGUGGGAGAUAUAUUUUGUUUCCCAAUCUUCAUGUUUUUGUGUCCAAUCUGCUCCAAAUCCCUUUCUUUUGCUCCAAGACUCUCUCCAUCCAAUAUUCUUCCCUGAAAUAUAAUAAAUUGCAUUUUAAAGUAAACUAUCCUAAAAAGGAAAUAAUACUAAUAUAAAAUUAUAUAAAAUCUAAUUAAAACUAAACUAAAAAGCAUAUUAAAAUAACAUAUAAAUGAUUCAUCAAACUCCCCCAUACUUGAAUCUUUGCUUGUCCUCAAGCAAAAGGCAUAAACAUAGUAACAUCAACAGUUAAAUCAAAUGACAAUUAAUUAAAGCACAUGUCUCCUCAAGGGCUUAAAUCCCAAAAUGUACACUAAUCACAAACUCAAGUAUUUCUUGAAAUCUUUAUUCUACCCAACAAUCAAGUUUCAAGUGAGAGUGUGUGUGAAGUCCAACCCUUUUCUUGCUCCUGUAUAAAAUAGGUAUAAUGAGGAAACAUGGUCUAAUCUUAGCACUAAACUAACCAAGAAAAAUUCCUUCUACAAUUCAUAUAAAAGAGAUGGGAGUUUUUGAGAAUCUUUGUUCUUUUGCCAUAUGCACAUUUUAAGUUCUUUAUUUAAGGGACAACAUUUUCACGUAGGAGGUCGGAGGGCCUACCCCCUUCCCCAAUCUAGAUUCAAUGAUAUUCCUUAAAACAUCGUCUUCACGUAGGAAGUCGGAGGGCCUACCUCCUUCCCCAAUCUAGUUUCAACAAUGCUUUUAUCAGUUUUUCUCAAGAUAACAAUCACCUUCACGUAGGAAGUCGGAGGGCCUACCUCCUUCCCCAAUCUAGAUUCAGUGAUGAGAUCUUGGAAUUAUUUGGCUUUUUGGCUUUUUAUGAUCUCCCUUAUACUCACUUAUACUACUGGCGCUUUGAGAAUUUUUAAAGGUUAAUGCACCAUUAAGAUUAGAACGCGUUUCCUUAAAAUACCUAUUCAUACAUUUACUCAAGGGAAGCAACUUUGUGUUUUUCUCAUUGGAGAAUUUUAUUCACUUUGAAACAAGAUGUGGUUAUAUCAAGAAGACUUAAAACACAAGAGUUUGCUUUCAUGUACAAGAGUCAACAAAAUAAGAGGAGACAAUGAAAAUUUUUGUGUCAUGAUUUUUUUUUCAAUAAAAAUUAGCUACUUAACUAUGCCUUUUACAAUAAAACAGAACAAAAGAAUAAAGUUCAAGGGAGUUUGGAAAUACUACGACUACUGACACUUUAUUAGGCUCCCCCCACACUUAGGAGAAGCAUUGUCCUCAAUGAUUCAAGAUAAAAAGAAAAAUAACAGAGAAGUAGAGGUAGAAGAAGAAGAAGCAGAAGAAGAAGGAGAAGGAUAAGAAGGGAAGAGUGGAAGAGGAAAGCUCACAGUUUUAUCAUUGAGGUCCAUAUGGAGGACCUUGGAGGUGAAAGUGGUGCAUCAUGUUCCGAAGCAUUUGGUUAUUUUCUUCGGAUAUGCGGUUGCCCCUUUGGACAUCAUGCCUUAUGCUCAUGAGUUCAACACCUUGCCUUUGUUGCUCGGUGUUUAUUCUUUCAACCUCGGUAGUCAUCCAUUCCCAUCUCGCAUCUUCAUUUGUUUCAUCUUCAUUAGGGUCAUGGUAUUCCUCAUCAUGGUGCAGUUGUGCACCUUCCUCUUCUUGAUGCAAGUGUGCAUCCUCUGUUUCUUCAUUAUGCUGCUCUAUGUGCACCUGUGGGUCAUCUUCAACAUACAACAAAUUUGCUUCCACCUCGGUGUUAGUUCGAGAUGGGUUAGGCAAUAAAAUUAAGAUGGGCACAUUCAGUUGGAGUGUAUAGACAAAGGGGACUCGAGUUUUUAUGAAAUUCAUAGAGAUGAGAGUUUCUAUGUUUAGUCUAUUGUUACCCUCGAUCUUGUUUAUCCCUAGGUCUUCAUUCACACCGAAUCGCCCAGCUAUGUAUGUUAUAAUACCCCCCACUACUAUUUCUCCCCUACUAUCGGACCUAUUUCCUAUAAGGGAAAGGUAGUCAAGCAAGUAAAAACAAGUGUUAAUGGUUUGGUUGUGCAACAUAGCCCAAAGCAUGAAGAGUUCAUCAUUCCUAGUGUUCCCCAAUUCUUUCCGUCCCCUAAGGUACCUAAGUACGGGGUUGUGAAUGUUGCUAGCUUUGUUUGCACGUGUGUUAAAUUGGUCAAGACCGGUGAUUUGCUCCCAAAAGGCGGCGGGUUGAUAGUUAACCGGUUUUAAAUUUUGAUCCCAAGAGUCGUGGAUGAACCCCGCAUUGGCGAAGCCCAUCUCAUCACAGAAGUGUUGAAGAAACAUCUCAUAAUCAAUAUUCAAAAGCCGGAAAGAAACUCUAUGGUUAGGGUUAUCAAAGUUCAACCUAUAUUUCGUAAAAACAAUAGAACUUAAAAAUUCAUAGGUGAAGUUUUCAUACCCUCGCAUAGGUCUCAACAUAUCAACCCAUCCUAGCCUUUCUAGCAGUUUUAACACAUUAUCCUUAAUACCUAGCUUAUUCAUGUCAUGGUUAUCAGGGUACCUGCAAGGUUGUAGAGGUUUAGAGAUUAGAAGUUUGUACCUAUCCCUUUGCUUGUUGUCCCGGAAGAUGAUGCCAUGAUUUUUGGCUUGUGCCUUCUUCUUUGGGGGAGGUCCCCCGGAUGAGCUUGCAACUUCCUUUCCACUUCUCUUUGAAGUCAUUGCCCUGACCUUGCCUUUGGUGUGGUGGUUUGGUUAAGGGUUGUUUUGGUGGAAAAAGGUUGCACUAGCGUUGUGUUGAAGGUUUAUGUGAGUUUUUGAGGUUGGGUUAGGGAGGUUGGUGACAAAUUUAUGGUUUUUGGGUUAGGUUAUGGAGGGUUACGAAUUUGGGUGAUGUUGGUUGGGGUGGAUGAAAGUUGUUUUGGAAUGGUGGGUUAUGAUUGGAAUGGUGUUAGUGAUUGAUUGGGUGGAGAAAUUUUGUGAAUGGGUGUGAUUUGGGGGUAGUUGUGAAGGUUUGUAGUUGUAUGGUUAUGGAGGUUUGAGAGAGAAGGUGUGAAGUAGAGAGAAGUUUGUGUUGGAGAGUGAGGGAAGAAGAAGAUGAAAAGGUGGGUUUAUCCUUACCUGUAGUCGGGCACGGCCGUGCCAACCUUAGCACGGGCCGUGCCAACAUUCUGGACUUGGCUCUAUGUUUGGUUAUUGAAGAGAUGGCACGGCCGUGCCAGUGUGAGCACGGGCCGUGCCAAGGUUCUGGAGGGCUAGGCUUCAAAAUUUUCUGUUUUCUUGAAUUUUUUUCCGGACAAUAACCUACAAAAUAAUUAAAAGAAACAAAAACAAAAACAAAAGCAGUUAAAUGCGUGGGUUGCCUCCCACGAAGUGCUCGUUUAUUGUCAUUAGCUUGACGUUAGGAAAGUGUCCUUAGAAAGGAUCAAAGAGGUCAUAUUGUGUAGUUGACGCUAGAAAGCGUUCUUUCACAUUAUGUACUUCAAUCAUGUUACAAUAAUAAAGAGCGGGACCUUUCAUAACAUUUUCCAGCUCGAACCCAAUCAUUGCAUCACUUGCUUGAAAAACUAUCCUUCCACUCUGAACAUCUAUUAUAGCACCGGCAGUAGCUAGGAAGGGUCGUCCUAAGAUUAUCGGGACAUCAAGGUCCUCUUCUAUGUCGACCACUACAAAAUCAGUUGGGAUAUAUAUCCCUUCUAUCUUAACGGGUAUGUCCUCGAUGUAGCCAGCUAGGGGGAUAGUAGAACGGUCUGCUAGUUUUAAGAUCAUCUCGGUCGGUUUAAGCUCUCCUAUUCCCAUCCUUUUGAAGAGGGAUAAAGGCAGCAAACUUACACUAGCUCCUAAGUCACACAAGGCCUUGUCAACGGUUUCUUUUCCUAUCACACAAGGGAUGGCAAAACUACCUGGAUCUCUAAGCUUUUGGGGUUGCUUCUUGAUGAUUGCACCACUUUCCCAAGUUAAAGCUACUGUCUCCUUAUGAUCUAUAGCCUUUUUCUUUGAAAAAAUUCCUUUUAAAAAUUUGGCGUAUAGAGGCAUACGAGAUAGGGCUUCAACAAAGGGGGUCUGAAUGCAAAUCUUUUUAAGUAUGUUUAAGAAUUUAGCAAACUGGGCCUCCAAGUUAAGCUUAGUGAGCCUUAAUGUAUUAAGAGUCUUAUUCUUAUCAAGUGGUGUUUUUAUCGCAUCCUUCUUACCUAGAGACUUAACACUCUCCCCCUUGACACCUUUGGCUUUGGUAAUGGUCUCUUCUAACUUAUUGCCCCCAAGAGAAAUGGCAUUGACAUGGGCCUUGGGGUUUGUUUCAGUUUGUCCAGGAAAGACUCCUGGUGUUUGUGAAGAGGUGGCCACUUGUUGGGCUAGUUGGGAGAUUUGGGUUUCAAGGAUUUUGGUGUGUGUGGCGAUGGAAUCAACCUUGGUAUUGAGCUUGGAGAGAGAGUCGUUCAGAGAUCCUGUUUGGUUUUUUAGCUCUUGAAGUUGUUUAUUUUGAUUCAUCAUGCAAUUUUCCAACAUUAUUUCCAAACUAGAUUUCUGAGCUACUCUCUGGUUGUUUGUAUAGCCAGGUGGUGCUGUUUGCCCAUAGGAACUUUGAGGAUUUUUGUAAAAAUUUUGGUUUGGCCUCAUUCCUUGGUUGUAUUGAGCGUAAUUUAGUUGCUCAAUAUUGGCAGCACUACCUAACUGACAAUCAACACCUGUAUGACCAGUUAUACCACAGACUUCACAAGUAGGGGAUGCGGGAGAAGGUGAGGCAGCAUUAACAUUAAGUUUUUCAAUUUUUUGUGUUAAUGCCUCAACCUUAGCAGCAAGGUGGUUAUAUUCAGAGACUUCGUAUAUACCUGCCUCUUUCUUAGAGGGAGUAGGAGUGGUGACGGCUCUUUCGUUGGUCCAUUGAUAGUGAUUUUGAGCCAUGUCCUCAAUUAAAGCGUAAGCCUCCGUGUAGUUUUUGUUCAUUAGGGCUCCACCUGCAGCUGCAUCAACAGACAUUUUAGUGGUAUAUGUCAAGCCAUUAUAAAACGUGUGGACUAUAAGCCACUUCUCUAGGCCAUGGUGGGGACAAAGUCUAAGCAUUUCCUUGAAACGCUCCCACGCCUCAUAGAGAGAUUCCCCAUCUUUUUGAUUGAAACGUGUAAUUUGGUCUCUAAGCUUAGCUGUUUUAGAUGGGGGAAAGAAUCGGGCGAGGAAUGCUCGCCUCAUAUCGUCCCAUGAAGUAAUGGAACCGACUUAUAGGGAAUGGAACCAAGCGCUAGCUCUAUCCUUUAAGGAAAAGGGAAAGAGAUGAAGUCUUACGGCUUCUUGGUUCUCUUUUAUGGUGCCAUUGAGUCUAAGGAAGGAAGAAAUAUGGAGAUUUGGAUCCUCAGUGGGUGAUCCAGAAAACUGGUUUUGCUGCACUAAAUUGAGUAGUGCAGGCUUGAUUUCGAAGUUAUUACCCGCAACCAUUGGGUACACGAUAAUAGCUUGUGGCUCUUCCGUUGAAGGAGUAGCAUACUCUUUGAGAGUACGUUCAGCCAUAGCGGUAUUAUUUUGUGCCUCUCUCUUUUUCUUAUGCAAAAACCUUUCGAUCUCAGGAAUAAAUUCUCCGAGACUUUUACUUCUUCGCAUAAGAAACCGAGAACCCAAGAAGUUAGUGGUAAAAACAAAAGAAAGAAAAGUAGAAGAGAAGAGGAAGAGGAAAGAGAAGAGAGUUCUAAUCACAAAGAAAGAGUUAAUUAAAUUAGUUUACUCCCCGGCAGCGGCGCCAAAAACUUGAUGAGAUAAAACCGCAAGUGCACGGUCUUACCGAAGUAGUACAAAAGAGUAUCGUUCCGAUAGGGAGUAGUUCAAUUUAAUUAACCUUUAGAGAUGAUUAGAAGAGAAAAGAGAUUGUAAAUUGGGGGUUUUAAACGGUUAAAAGCAAUAUAAUAAAAGAGCCUUGGGAUCGUUGGUUUCAUCUAAGUGACAAGUCCUUCUCAAACCAAAACCAUAAGCUUAUAAUGUUAUGUUAGACCUAAUUUCUCAAGACAGUUUCUCUUAAGUUCCUCUAGAAACCAAGCCUAUUUCGCUGACCUGAUUACUAUUGGAUUUUGGUUCCUCUAACAACCAAGCCUAUUUCGCUGACUUGAUUGUUAUUAGUUCCCUUGAAGAUCAAAACUAUAUGUCUCAAAGAUUGCAAAGCCUAUUUCGCUGACUUUGCAAUCCUUGUCUGAAUUCACUUGUUCGAAUAUCAAAGCUCCACUUUCGUUUUAUGAAUUGAUAUUUGGAAUAAUGGACGAACAAUUAUCAAACCCUCCACUUUCGUUUCCACAGUUUGAUAAUGGUUAAUCCAUGUUAAGACGGUGAAUUCAGAUAAGAAAUUAGGGUUACAUAAGAUUAAGGCUUAGGGCUUGGUUUGAUUAGGAUUAUGUCAUUUAGACUUAUCC